rnacentral:misc_RNA from 1 species
GUUUUUCAAUUCCGACUGAGGCCAGACGCUGUAGUAUUUCCAUUAUCCCAGAACCCAUUUCGGCAGGUACUACCACUGGGCUAGAAACCUGCAUAAUCAGGUUCCCACCACUCUUAGCAUUCUGGAAAAUUGCAGGAUUCAUAGAUCGCAAAAAACCUCCAUUCUUUGUCUGGAUAAAUGAACCCAGUCCUUCUCCAAGAGGAGGCAAUUCAAACGGCU